UGCGGCAAAGGCCUGCACCACC
rnacentral:misc_RNA from 1 species